rnacentral:rRNA from 1 species
UACGGAGGAUACGAGCGUUGUCCGGAAUUACUGGGUUUAAAGGGUGCGUAGGCGGUUAGAUAAGUCAGGGUUCAAAGGCUACAGCUCAACUGUGGUUCGGCCUUGAUACUGUUUAACUUGAGUGCUAUGAAAGCAGACGGAAUUGGUAGAGUAGCGGUGAAAUGCUUAGAUACUACCAAGAACACCAAUAGCGAAGGCAGUCUGCUUUGUAGAAACUGACGCUGAGGCACGAAAGCGUGGGUAGCAAACAGG